UACGGGGGGGGCAAGCGUUGUUCGGAAUUACUGGGCGUAAAGGGCGCGCAGGCGGCUCAUUUUGUCAGGCGUGAAAGCCCCGGGCUUAACCUGGGACUGCGUUUAUACGGAUGGGCUAGAGUUCGGGAGAGGAGAGUGGAAAUUCCCAGUGUAGAGGUGAAAUUCGUAGAUAUUGGGAAGAACACCGGUGGCGAAGGCGGCUCUCUGGACCGAUACUG
rnacentral:rRNA from 1 species